AGUCCCAGCUAGCGUUGUCCCCUCUCGCGUCUCCUAUUGCAAUGUAAAAUCCUACGUCCUGUAUUGAUACUACAGUUUUGUCCUGUAUUUCAGGUCGUCGUCUCUCUCUUUCUGCUAAGUUAGGGACCCUCUCCGAAUAGGUAAAAAAAAGAACAAAGGUGGCAACCGUAGACUCCCAACUCAGACUGCACCCUGCACCCCGCUCCACUCCAUGCGCAGCGGACCGCUGUGGCUACACCAGCCUGGUUCAGCGAUGUCCGUUAAUUCCAAGGUAUCUGCUGCUCUGGAUAUGAAGCCUAGAGUCGUAGGGAGUUGGAAGGGGUCCCAUAGGUCAUCUAGAACUUUUGCCCCAACGUGGGGCUUGAACCUACGGCCCUUGAGAUUAAGAGCCUUGGGCUCUACCGACUUUGCAGUACUGACGUUUAUUUCUUUGUCAUAUCAAUUUUUUUUGGCUCCAUUUCAAUCCCACUGUUCUCGGAUGUAUCACACAAACGUAUGUUCUAAAGUGGGGCUCAACUAUACAAACCUGAGAUUGAAGAGGCUCACUCUCUGCAGUGCCAGCUGAGCUGGUAUGAGGAUUGUGAAGCCCCUUUUCUCCUAUGAGGAAGGGAUAAUAUUUCAUAGAAUUAUAUCCUUUAUUUGUAGAGCAAUAGGGACCCUGAGGGUCAUCUAGCUUGACAUCCUGUGAGGGGAAACUGCCUACACUAAAUCUGGUGCUGCAUGCGAUUCCCGGUCCAAUUUUGAAGCCAUACCAGACCCUGCUUAGCUUUGCAAAUGUGCUAACAGUUUUAUUGUUGUGCUGCUUGGAGUAGCAAUGUGACUGGUGCUAAACUUCACACCAGCACCCAUACACUGAUUUGAUUCACUGUAUUUCUUUGUCACUUGUAGUUAAAGUGAAUCUCAAAGCACUGCGAGCCACACCCACACCCUGUGAAGGAAAGGGUUGCAGCGUCUGGGGUUUCUCAGUUUAGAGAAAAGGCAAGCAAUAGAAGGACAGCAUGAGGGAGGUUUAUAAAACUGCUUGGGGCAUGGAGAAAGCAGACAGAGGAAAAGCCUCCCUCUCUCUCAAAUGAAACACUUGUUUUAUAUUAUUUAUAAAGUUUCCCUUUACCUGAGAAUCACAGGGUAGUUUUGCAAUAUUAAAAACCCCCAUGAAAGUGUAUAACAUAAUAAAUGAAAUAAUAACGUCCCUGAAGCUGGGGUAUUGGUUAGUGUUUUUUUGGGGGUGGGUGGGGAAGUUGUUGCUGUUAUUGAUAUUAAUUUCUGGUAUCUUUAUUGUUGGUCUUUAUGUGGAAAUGGUUUGGUUUGGUUGUGUACUUUUUGAAGUUUUAUUUGUUGUUUGUGACUACUUUUGCUAUGUAAGUCUGUGGUGCUAUGGGUCAGUGCGUCUGGCUGUUAACCAGAACGCUAAUGUGGACUUGACGUGGAACAAUCAGUGUUGCAAGGACAUGUUUUUGAUAGUUUCCACAGCAGAACCACACUGCAGCUUGCACACAGAUAUACACACCAAUAUUUAAACAAAGACACUCUGCUAAGGUCUGUCCCUAACUGGGUGAGGAACCACAUGCAUAAAUACAUUUUUUCGUAUAUAAACCAUUCCUCAUACCUGCUGUUGGAUUUAUGCAUGUAAAAAGGGAGUUUCAAAUGAACACCCUGGGGUUGUUGUUUUUUUGGAGGAGUGCUGAUUGGUCCAGGAUCACCACAGAAAGAAUACAUCUGUAUGUGCAGAGCACAUGUGAGGGCAGCUGUCAGAUGCAACCUUGUCCACAGGUGAAGGAUGUUCUUGUUAACAUCCCUAAACCGAUAGAAAUGCAGGAAUUGUACAAAUCAGCUAUUUGGGAGGGGGUGUUUCACAGGCAAAGAGGAAGUGAUCAUCGUGAUUAAUGUUUUUAUAGCAUGUUUCUAUGCUGUGGAUUUGGAUUGGCGUUAUCAUUGCUGCGCUUUUGAGAACAGAGCUCUUGGUGUGUUAAGUUCUACAUAUGCAACCUGAGGCAAAUUGCUUAGUGAUCUGUUUCUCUUAUGAACAGAGCCUUUGAGUAUGUAUACUCAAGCUCUACUGAAUUCUAUGGGAGUUAUUCCCAAGUAAGUUUCAUAAGACUGCAGCUUAAAGUUCUUCAUUCACACUGAAAAGAUGUUUUGAUGCUCAUAUGUUGUUAACUGAAACUGGCUGCUAAUUUGCAGGGAUACUUUUAUCGCCUCCUUGGUCAUUGUCACACAUGCAUGCAAAUUCAUGUGUGUGUGUGUGUGUUUGCCUACAUUCAGCUGAAUAUGAAUGUUUGGUCGAAUCAUUUUGCUUCAUAGUGCUCUAGAGGCUACCAGACUUCGUCUGUGGCAAAUGGCCAGAGGGAAUAAAUUCCACAACUGGAACACUGUAAAACAUGCUAAUUGUUCCCUCAGUAUUUAUAAAAGUAAAGUAAGGGAGAAAACCAUGUGUUGUAUGUAGGAAAUAUUCUUUCUGGUUGGCAGGGAAAAAUGGGUUGUUACUUUGUGAUCAGGACUCUAUUUUCUUCAAUUCAGCCUGCAUAAAAUUUCAUA